rnacentral:rRNA from 1 species
UACGUAGGGGGCAAGCGUUGUCCGGAAUCAUUGGGCGUAAAGAGCGUGUAGGCGGCUCGGUAAGUCCGCUCUGAAAGCCCGGGGCUCAACCCCGGGAGGCGGGUGGAUACUGCUCAGCUCGAGUCCGGAAGAGGAGAGUGGAAUUCCUGGUGUAGCGGUGAAAUGCGCAGAUAUCAGGAAGAACACCCGUGGCUAAGGCGGCUCUCUAGUACGGUACUGACGCUGAGACGCGAAAGCGUGGGGAGCGAACAGG